CAGUAGCCGCGGGAAUACAGAGGGUGCGAGCGUUAAUCGGAUUUACUGGGCGUAAAGCGUGCGUAGGCGGCUUCUUAAGUCGGAUGUGAAAUCCCUGAGCUUAACUUAGGAAUUGCAUUCGAUACUGGGAAGCUAGAGUAUGGGAGAGGAUGGUAGAAUUCCAGGUGUAGCGGUGAAAUGCGUAGAGAUCUGGAGGAAUACCGAUGGCGAAGGCAGCCAUCUGGCCUAAUACUGACGCUGAGGUACGAAAGCAUGGGGAGCAAACAGGAUUAGAUACCCCAGUUAGUCCCUGUCUCUUAUA
rnacentral:rRNA from 1 species